UGUUUCUCAACCAAAAUAUUCCGAAAAGUCAUUUGAUGUUAACACCAGCAUAUUAUCCGAAGACGUAUCAGAUACUCCAGAGACAUCGGCUCCAUCUACUAAGAAUGACCGCACCUGCCGCGAAAACAAAUAAUCCGGAUAACAACGCGUUGCAGCACACUGUUUUACAAAGUCAAAUGGAACUUUUAAAUAUGCAGAAGAGGAUCUAAUUGCACAAGAGCAACGCCAACAAGUAGAGCAUGAUAGAAAAAUGCAGUUGUACGAAAUAACGGCUAAAGUUUUGGAACCAAAAUUGUUGUCGUUUAAUAAAUAAAAUUAAUUAAUUGAGGUAUACAUUAAUAACAGUUACUUUCUAUUAUGCAAUAAAAUAUAAUUUUAUUUAAUACAA